rnacentral:rRNA from 1 species
GGUUAAGUGACUAAGCGUACACGGUGGAUGCCUAGGCAGUCAGAGGCGAUGAAGGGCGUGCUAAUCUGCGAAAAGCGUCGGUAAGGUGAUAUGAACCGUUAUAACCGGCGAUACCCGAAUGGGGAAACCCAGUGUGUUUCGACACACUAUCAUGUCAUGAAUACAUAGUGGCAUGAGGCGAACCGGGGGAACUGAAACAUCUAAGUACCCCGAGGAAAAGAAAUCAACCGAGAUUCCCCCAGUAGCGGCGAGCGAACGGGGAGGAGCCCAGAACCUGAAUCGGCUUGUGUGUUAGUGGAAGCGUCUGGAAAGUCGCGCAGCAAAGGGUGAUAGCCCCGUACACUAAAAUGCACAGGUCGUGAGUUCGAUGAGUAGGGCGGGACACGUGACAUCCUGUCUGAAUAUGGGGGGACCAUCCUCCAAGGCUAAAUACUCCUGACUGACCGAUAGUGAACCAGUACCGUGAGGGAAAGGCGAAAAGAACCCCGGCGAGGGGAGUGAAAUAGAACCUGAAACCGUGUACGUACAAGCAGUGGGAGCACCUUCGUGGUGUGACUGCGUACCUUUUGUAUAAUGGGUCAGCGACUUAUAUUUUGUAGCAAGGUUAACCGUAUAGGGGAGCCGUAGGGAAACCGAGUCUUAACUGGGCGACUAGUUGCAAGGUAUAGACCCGAAACCCGGUGAUCUAGCCAUGGGCAGGUUGAAGGUUGGGUAACACUAACUGGAGGACCGAACCGACUAAUGUUGAAAAAUUAGCGGAUGACUUGUGGCUGGGGGUGAAAGGCCAAUCAAACCGGGAGAUAGCUGGUUCUCCCCGAAAGCUAUUUAGGUAGCGCCUCGUGAACUCAUCUUCGGGGGUAGAGCACUGUUUCGGCUAGGGGGCCAUCCCGGCUUACCAAACCGAUGCAAACUCCGAAUACCGAAGAAUGUUAUCACGGGAGACACACGGCGGGUGCUAACGUCCGUCGUGAAGAGGGAAACAACCCAGACCGCCAGCUAAGGUCCCAAAGUCAUGGUUAAGUGGGAAACGAUGUGGGAAGGCAUAGACAGCCAGGAUGUUGGCUUAGAAGCAGCCAUCAUUUAAAGAAAGCGUAAUAGCUCACUGGUCGAGUCGGCCUGCGCGGAAGAUGUAACGGGGCUAAACCAUGCACCGAAGCUGCGGCAGCGACGCUUAGGCGUUGUUGGGUAGGGGAGCGUUCUGUAAGCCGUUGAAGGUGGCCUGUGAGGGUUGCUGGAGGUAUCAGAAGUGCGAAUGCUGACAUAAGUAACGAUAAAGCGGGUGAAAAGCCCGCUCGCCGGAAGACCAAGGGUUCCUGUCCAACGUUAAUCGGGGCAGGGUGAGUCGACCCCUAAGGCGAGGCUGAAAAGCGUAGUCGAUGGGAAACAGGUUAAUAUUCCUGUACUUGGUGUUACUGCGAAGGGGGGACGGAGAAGGCUAGGCUAGCCGGGCGACGGUUGUCCCGGUUUAAGCGUGUAGGGGGUGUGACCUGGUAAAUCCGGUUGCAUAUCAACCCUGAGGCGUGAUGACGAUGCACUACGGUGCAGAAGUAGUUGAUGCCCUGCUUCCAGGAAAAUCCUCUAAGCAUCAGGUAACAUUAAAUCGUACCCCAAACCGACACAGGUGGUCAGGUAGAGAAUACCAAGGCGCUUGAGAGAACUCGGGUGAAGGAACUAGGCAAAAUGGUGCCGUAACUUCGGGAGAAGGCACGCUGGCAUGUAGGUGAAGUCCCUUGCGGAUGGAGCUGAAGCCAGUCGAAGAUACCAGCUGGCUGCAACUGUUUAAUAAAAACACAGCACUGUGCAAACACGAAAGUGGACGUAUACGGUGUGACGCCUGCCCGGUGCUGGAAGGUUAAUUGAUGGGGUCAGCCGCAAGGCGAAGCUCUUGAUCGAAGCCCCAGUAAACGGCGGCCGUAACUAUAACGGUCCUAAGGUAGCGAAAUUCCUUGUCGGGUAAGUUCCGACCUGCACGAAUGGCGUAAUGAUGGCCAGGCUGUCUCCACCCGAGACUCAGUGAAAUUGAACUCGCUGUGAAGAUGCAGUGUACCCGCGGCAAGACGGAAAGACCCCGUGAACCUUUACUAUAGCUUGACACUGAACAUUGAGCCUUGAUGUGUAGGAUAGGUGGGAGGCUUUGAAGCGUGGACGCCAGUCUGCGUGGAGCCAUCCUUGAAAUACCACCCUUUAAUGUUUGAUGUUCUAACUCGGCCCCGUAAUCCGGGGUGAGGACAGUGUCUGGUGGGUAGUUUGACUGGGGCGGUCUCCUCCCAAAGAGUAACGGAGGAGCACGAAGGUUAGCUAAUCACGGUCGGACAUCGUGAGGUUAGUGCAAAGGCAUAAGCUAGCUUGACUGCGAGAGUGACGGCUCGAGCAGGUACGAAAGUAGGUCUUAGUGAUCCGGUGGUUCUGAAUGGAAGGGCCAUCGCUCAACGGAUAAAAGGUACUCCGGGGAUAACAGGCUGAUACCGCCCAAGAGUUCAUAUCGACGGCGGUGUUUGGCACCUCGAUGUCGGCUCAUCACAUCCUGGGGCUGAAGUAGGUCCCAAGGGUAUGGCUGUUCGCCAUUUAAAGUGGUACGCGAGCUGGGUUUAGAACGUCGUGAGACAGUUCGGUCCCUAUCUGCCGUGGGCGUUGGAAGAUUGAGAGGGGUUGCUCCUAGUACGAGAGGACCGGAGUGAACGCACCACUGGUGUUCGGGUUGUCAUGCCAAUGGCAUUGCCCGGUAGCUAAGUGCGGAAAAGAUAAGCGCUGAAAGCAUCUAAGCGCGAAACUUGCCUCAAGAUGAGUCUUCCCUGGGCCUUUAAGGCCCCUGAAGGAACGUUUAAGACUAAGACGUUGAUAGGCUGGGUGUGUAAGUGCAGCGAUGCAUUGAGCUAACCAGUACUAAUGAUCCGUGAGGCUUAACCUU